UCCAAAUGACAGAAAAGGGAGCUGUACACA
rnacentral:piRNA from 1 species